CACAGUACCAUCGCCAAGGUCGGACGCUUGGUUCCGUAUGUUUACAUUCCAGGAGAAGAGGCAGAAGAACAGAAGAAGACCGCUUUUCAUUGAUUAGUCAAAGUACUUUAUUGGUGAUAAGCUAAUCAAAGCAUUUGUUGAUCAUUAAUAAUCAGGUGAAUGAUCUGUGAAAUAAAGAUGUCAUGAGUUAUGUGUUUAAAUGAAUAAACAGGGCUGCACCAGACACACUGAUAUGCAUUACCAUGGAAACGCAUGACACAUUGUUUUCAACCAUAGACUGUACAUACUGGACAAACGGAUUCCAUUGGCUUCAAUAACACGUUUGUUGUCCAUAAUGGGAGGUGGCCACCACCGCCAUUUUGACCGUGUCACAGGUUCCGUCCAGCCCAGACAAUUCCAUAAAAGGGAAGAGAGGAGGCGCUGAGGGUGUGGCUGUAAGGCUGGGCUCGAGUGACGACACCCAGGCGAACUAGCUACGAGCUAACCUGAAGCUAACCCUGGCUAACCCAAAGCUAAAGCGGAGGUGGGAGCCGAGCUAACGGAUGUAGCCACCUAGCUUCAACCCAACCAGAGCUAACUGGAACACCCAUCGACCUGAACCUUACACAUAGUUUAGGUGGAGGUUUUCUGCGCCUGUUCGUGAGAAGUACCUGUAUUAAAAAAGUUUUAAAUCGGUAAGUUUAUAAUUUAUUUCCGUAAUGAAAACAUUUUGCUUUGAGCAAGUUUUCAGUACAGUUUUUUUCGGCGCUAUCACUCCUGAGUCGCACCAGCCAUUAAAUGUAUCAUGAAGAAGAGAAAAUAUAUUUAAGUCGUAUUUUGGGGGGACAUUUUAUUAUCUUUCUUACAAAAUCUGAGACCAAGCGUUUCCCAUUGCAACACAAGCACCGGUAACCAUAACAGAAUGAACAACAGCCAGCAGAGGAGAGGAUGGCGGUGUUUCAAACCCUCCCGGCCGGCGUGGAGAGCUCAUUCCUGGGCUGGAGCCGGCCCUCAGCACCCCGCCACAGGCUCUAACAGAUGCUGGCGGUGUUUCAUUUAUUUCCAAAACGUAAUACUUGUUUGUAUUUUGUACAGCCAACUAGCCUUUAUUCUGGACUCAGUACAAUUUACCAAAAGUAAAAAGACAUUAUACAGAUGAAGUAAGCACAAGAUAACUUACUGGAAGACACGGAAUUAUCAUCAGAACCAGAACAAGAGAGCCUGAUAACAGUCAUGUGAAAAUAACAGUUAAAAAGUAUGUAUGUAUAUUAGAAAUAAAAAUAUAUUAGAAUUAGUGUAACUCACUCUGAUCCAAACAAUAAAUCAGCCAUAGCUGAUUAGUAAAUAUGACAUGAGGUCUGGGAGUUUUUAAGUUUCAUUCUUUUAUUACAUUUUUUUCUUAGAUCUGUUAAAAGGUCACCAUGGCAGCCUGUGUGUCAACGUCAGCUACACAAAGCAGCAAGUCCAUUUGGAUCAUUGGAGACAGCUGAGUGAGGCGUGGUGCCCAGAGAGCUGCAGAGACAACCUUGGCCUCCCUGACGUCUGUGUCUCCUGGUUUGGUUGGGGCGGACCAUCGACAUACAUACAUGUGCCGACACUUUGCGCCCUGUUUUAUAAAAUGUAGUGUUAAAAAUAAAUGUUUUUGCUCAA